rnacentral:rRNA from 1 species
AUUGAACGCUGGCGGCAGGCCUAACACAUGCAAGUCGAACGAGCGGCGGACGGGUGAGUAAUGUCUGGGAAACUGCCUGAUGGAGGGGGAUAACUACUGGAAACGGUAGCUAAUACCGCAUACCAUCAGAUGUGCCCAGAUGGGAUUAGCUAGUUGGUGGGGUAAGGGAUCACCAAGGCGACGAUCCCUAGCUGGUCUGAGAGGAUGACAGUCACCCCUGGAACGGAGACAGGGGCCAGACUCCACGUGCGGGCGGCGGUGGGGACUAUUCCACAAUGGGGGCAGGCCUGUGCAAGCCUGGCCGCGGUUUUGAAGAAGGCCUUCGGGUUUAAAAGUACUUUCGGCGGGGAGACUUUACCCGCAGAAGAAGCACCGGCUAACUCCGUGCCAGCAGCCGGGUAAUAC